rnacentral:pre_miRNA from 1 species
AAUUUCAGCUGAAAAAGUCAUGAACAUAAAAGUUGUACAACACAUCAAGACAUACAACUUUUAUUUUGAUCAUUUCUUCAUCCGACAAAGUUAUAGUAAAAUUGUUCACAAAAUUUGUAUAUAUCUCUUAUAGUUUAUAAAACCAUAUGAAAGAAAUAUAAAUUUUAUGAACAAUGUUACUAUCACUUCAUCGGAUGAAGAAAUGAUCAAAAUAAAAGUUAUAGAUCUUGAUGAGUUAUACAACUUUAUUGUUGUUAACUUUUUCAGUUGAAAUC